rnacentral:rRNA from 1 species
AGUGAACGCUGGCGGUAGGCCUAACACAUGCAAGUCGAACGGCAGCACAGUAAGAGCUUGCUCUUACGGGUGGCGAGUGGCGGACGGGUGAGGAAUACAUCGGAAUCUACUUUUUCGUGGGGGAUAACGUAGGGAAACUUACGCUAAUACCGCAUACGACCUACGGGUGAAAGCAGGGGAUCUUCGGACCUUGCGCGAUUGAAUGAGCCGAUGUCGGAUUAGCUAGUUGGCGGGGUAAAGGCCCACCAAGGCGACGAUCCGUAGCUGGUCUGAGAGGAUGAUCAGCCACACUGGAACUGAGACACGGCCCAGACUCCUACGGGAGGCAGCAGUGGGGAAUUUUGGACAAUGGGCGCAGGCCUGAUCCAGCCAUACCGCGUGGGUGAAGAAGGCCUUCGGGUUGUAAAGCCCUUUUGUUGGGAAAGAAAAGCAGCAGGUUAAUACCCCGCUGUUCUGACGGUACCCAAAGAAUAAGCACCGGCUAACUUCGUG